rnacentral:rRNA from 1 species
GACGAACGCUGGCGGCGUGCUUAACACAUGCAAGUCGAACGGAAAGGCCCUGCUUGCAGGGUACUCGAGUGGCGAACGGGUGAGUAACACGUGGGUGAUCUGCCCUGCACUUCGGGAUAAGCCUGGGAAACUGGGUCUAAUACCGGAUAGGGGCCAUUUUUAGUGUGAUGGUUGGAAAGUUUUUUCGGUGUAGGAUGAGCUCGCGGCCUAUCAGCUUGUUGGUGGGGUAAUGGCCUACCAAGGCGGCGACGGGUAGCCGGCCUGAGAGGGUGGACGGCCACAUUGGGACUGAGAUACGGCCCAGACUCCUACGGGAGGCAGCAGUGGGGAAUAUUGCACAAUGGGCGCAAGCCUGAUGCAGCGACGCCGCGUGGGGGAUGACGGCCUUCGGGUUGUAAACUCCUUUCGCCAGGGACGAAGCUUUUUGUGACGGUACCUAGAUAAGAAGCACCGGCUAACUACGUG